rnacentral:rRNA from 1 species
GAUGAACGCUGGCGGCGUGCCUAAUACAUGCAAGUCGAGCGAACGGACGAGAAGCUUGCUUCUCUGAUGUUAGCGGCGGACGUGUGAGUAACACGUGGAUAACCUACCUAUAAGACUGGGAUAACUUCGGGAAACCGUAGCUAAUACCGGAUAAUAUUUUGAACCGCUUGGUUCAAAAGUGAAAGACGGUCUUGCUGUCACUUAUAGAUGGAUCCGCGCUGCAUUAGCUAGUUGGUAAGGUAACGGCUUACCAAGGCAACGAUGCAUAGCCGAACUGAGAGGGUGAUAGGCCACACUGGAAGUGAGACACGGUCCAGACUACUACGGGAGGCAGCAGUAGGGAAUCUUCCGCAAUGGGCGAAAGCAUGACGGAGCAACGCCGCGUGAGAGAUGAAGGUCUUCGGAUCGUAAAACUCUGUUAUUAGGGAAGAACAUAUGUGUAAGUAACUGUGCACAUCUUGACGGUACCUAAUAAGAAAGCAACGGCUAACUACGUG